rnacentral:ncRNA from 2 species
ACGUUUUAAAAAGCGCCAGAACUAGACAACGAGCGGAUACAAUUGUCUAGUUGACGAGGAGAAGGUUUAUCGAGAAUUCGGCGGAUACCUUCCGGCUGCCACACACAGUCGACGUCUUUUUCUUAAAACAUCAGAGGUGACUCGGUGCACAAAGGGAAAAGAAAUGUGAGAA